rnacentral:rRNA from 1 species
AUUGAACGCUGGCGGCAUGCCUAACACAUGCAAGUCGAGCGGAUGAAGGGAGCUUGCUCCUGGAUUCAGCGGCGGACGGGUGAGUAAUACCUAGGAAUCUGCCGUGUAGGGGGGUAUAACGUCCAGAAACGGGCGCUAAUACCGCAUACGUCCUGAGGGAGAAAGGGGGGGAUCUUCGGACCUCACGCUAUCAGAUGAGCCUAGGUCGGAUUAGCUAGUUGGUGGGGUAAAGGCCUACCAAGGCGACGAUCCGUAACUGGUCUGAGAGGAUGAUCAGUCACACUGGAACUGAGACACGGUCCAGACUCCUACGGGAGGCAGCAGUGGGGAAUAUUGGACAAUGGGCGAAAGCCUGAUCCAGCCAUGCCGCGUGUGUGAAGAAGGUCUUCGGAUUGUAAAGCACUUUAAGUUGGGAGGAAGGGCCGUAAGUUAAUACCUUGCUGUUUUGACGUUACCAACAGAAUAAGCACCGGCUAACUUCGUG